AUGCCGGAGCAAGGGCUCACCGAGAGCGCAGUCGCUGCUUCUCUUCCUCGCCAAGAAAGUAACGGAGGCGACGGGGAGAGAGGGGACAUCGAGCACCCACAGUCGUAUGAGACGAGGACGGCCAGCCCCGCAUCAUCCACCAUCGGAGGAGAUGACGACGACCAGCCCUGCAUCGGAGGUGAGGCGGCGACAUCGAGCGGAUCCGAGGAGCAAGCAUCAGUUGCCUCUGAUGGCGGCGAGGACGAGCACCUCGGCAACAACGAUGAGCGUGCAGAUGGAGGCAGUCUCGACUCCCACCAUGGUGGCAUGGGCGAGUAG
rnacentral:rRNA from 1 species